rnacentral:rRNA from 1 species
UGGCGGCGUGCCUAACACAUGCAAGUCGAACGGAGUAUAAAGGAAGCUUGCGAAUUUAUACUAGUGGCGGACGGGUGAGUAACGCGUGGAUAACCUGCCUGAUAGCCUGGGAUAACAGCUGGAAACGGCUGCUAAUACCGGAUACGCUUGCGGAGUCGCAUGGCUUUGCAAGGAAAGCUUUCGUGCUAUCAGAUGGAUCCGCGUCCCAUUAGCUAGUUGGUGGUGUAGAGGACCACCAAGGCGACGAUGGGUAGCCGGCCUGAGAGGGCGAACGGCCACACUGGGACUGGGACACGGCCCAGACUCCUACGGGAGGCAGCAGCGGGGAAUCUUCCGCAAUGGGCGAAAGCCCUGACGGAGCAACGCCGCGUGAGGGAAGAAGGCCUUCGGGUUGUAAACCUCUGUUUUCAGGGAAGAAGAAAGUGACGGUACCUGAAGAGUAAGCUCCGGCUAACUACGUGCCAGCCGCAGC